rnacentral:lncRNA from 1 species
GGGAGAAUCUUUUUUUACUAUAAAAUUCUUUAUCUUCAUUAUUAUGUUGGAAUGACCGCUUUCUACGCGAAUAAUGGCGGUUUUUUCUAAGCUGCCGGCUAGGAUGACUAGAUUUAUUUUUUCUAGAUGGGGGAACAGACAUUAAACCAUAUUGUUCGCAGAAAUUACCUAACUCAUUUUGGCAUAAUUUCUUUUAGAUUGGAUUUGUUUACCAAUUUUCAUAUCCAC